UACGGAGGGGGCUAGCGUUGUUCGGAAUUACUGGGCGUAAAGCGCACGUAGGCGGACCAUCAAGUUGGGGGUGAAAUCCCGGGGCUCAACCCCGGAACUGCCUCCAAAACUGCUGGUCUGGAGGUCGAGAGAGGUGAGUGGAAUUCCUAGUGUAGAGGUGAAAUUCGUAGAUAUUAGGAAGAACACCAGUGGCGAAGGCGGCUCACUGGCCCGGUACUGACGCUCAUGUGCGAAAGCGUGGGGAGCAAACAGG
rnacentral:rRNA from 1 species